rnacentral:rRNA from 1 species
UAACUGAAGAGUUUGAUCAUGGCUCAGAUUGAACGCUGGCGGCAGGCUUAACACAUGCAAGUCGAGCGGGGGAAGGUAGCUUGCUACUGGACCUAGCGGCGGACGGGUGAGUAAUGCUUAGGAAUCUGCCUAUUAGUGGGGGACAACAUCUCGAAAGGGAUGCUAAUACCGCAUACGUCCUACGGGA